GCAUGGGUUUGGAUUUAUGGCAGGUCCGUUUCCCUGGGCCUCUCAUAGUGUCCCAUGCCAAAGCAAGCUGUGGCCCUGAACCGUUGCCUGGCCCUUGCCAGUGGACUGCAGGCACUGAAGUGGGUCGUAUAGUG
ensembl:snoRNA